CGACUAGAAACAGGACAGAAUAUAUCAUCAAGUCUGUAACUCCUCCAGGUCAGGGUCAAAGGUCGGAUCUGAUCUCAUGCUCCUAAAGGAUCUUAAAUCAGAAGUUUAAUGUCAGAGACGGCGUGCAGCUCAGAGGUCGAGGAGGUUUUUCUGCAGCUCUGUUUCAGUGUGAACUACGAUCCUGCUUACUUUGGAGCUGGAACUAAACUCAGCGUUUUAGAAGAAGGACUUAAGGUCACUCCACCGACAGUCAGAGUUCUCCCAGCUUCUCCAAAGGAGUGUGGACACCAGAGUAAGACCAUCGUUUGUGUGGCAGUGGAUUCUACCCGGAUCAUGUCAGCUUCUCCUGGACCGCAAGAGGGCGAGGUCAGCUCAGGUGUGGCGACGGACAGCGAGGCCGUGCUGGAAGAAGGAAAGACCUACGUGAUGAGCAGCAGGCUGAGGGUCUCUGCUGAAGAGUGGAACAAUCCUGACAAUGAAUUCACCUGCACCGUCCGCUUCUUUGACGGGGACAAAACGGUCCUUACUCUGCUUCAAUCUCCAUGUUUGAACUCUUUCAGACAAUAUCUGAAGGUCACGCAGAGCGCCAAACUGACGUACAGCGUGUUCAUCGUGAAGAGCUGUUUCUACGGAGCGUUUGUAGCUUUUCUGCUGCUCAAGUUUCAGGGGGCGAAGCAGAAGAACUGAGAGCAGAGCCGACGCCUCACAAGAGGAUUCUGGGAAAUCUGCUCAGUGUUCAUGUCUGUGUAUGAAGUUAGC